UGGUAGCGGGGGAUAACUAUUGGAAACGAUAGCUAAUACCGCAUAAGAGUAGAUGUUGCAUGACAUUUACUUAAAAGGUGCAAUUGCAUCACUACCAGAUGGACCUGCGUUGUAUUAGCUAGUUGGUGGGGUAACGGCUUACCAAGGCGACGAUACAUAGCCGACCUGAGAGGGUGAUCGGCCACACUGGGACUGAGACACGGCCCAGACUCCUACGGGAGGCAGCAGUAGGGAAUCUUCGGCAAUGGACGGAAGUCUGACCGAGCAACGCCGCGUGAGUGAAGAAGGUUUUCGGAUCGUAAAGCUCUGUUGUAAGAGAAGAACGAGUGUGAGAGUGGAAAGUUCACACUGUGACGGUAUCUUACCAGAAAGGGACGGCUAACUACGUGCCAGCAGCCGCGGUAAUACGUAGGUCCCGAGCGUUGUCCGGAUUUAUUGGGCGUAAAGCGAGCGCAGGCGGUUAGAUAAGUCUGAAGUUAAAGGCCGUGGCUUAACCAUAGUACGCUUUGGAAACUGUUUAACUUGAGUGCAAGAGGGGAGAGUGGAAUUCCAUGUGUAGCGGUGAAAUGCGUAGAUAUAUGGAGGAACACCGGUGGCGAAAGCGGCU
rnacentral:rRNA from 1 species